UGGGGAAUAUUGCACAAUGGGCGCAAGCCUGAUGCAGCCAUGCCGCGUGUAUGAAGAAGGCCUUCGGGUUGUAAAGUACUUUCAGCGGGGAGGAAGGGAGUAAAGUUAAUACCUUUGCUCAUUGACGUUACCCGCAGAAGAAGCACCGGCUAACUCCGUGCCAGCAGCCGCGGUAAUACGGAGGGUGCAAGCGUUAAUCGGAAUUACUGGGCGUAAAGCGCACGCAGGCGGUUUGUUAAGUCAGCUGUGAAAUCCCCGGGCUCAACAUGGGAACUGCAUCUGAUACUGGCAAGCUUGAGUCUCGUAGAGGGGGGUAGAAUUCCAGGUGUAGCGGUGAAAUGCGUAGAGAUCUGGAGGAAUACCGGUGGCGAAGGCGGCCCCCUGGACGAAGACUGACGCUCAGGUGCGAAAGCGUGGGGAGCAAACAGG
rnacentral:rRNA from 1 species